rnacentral:rRNA from 1 species
GACGAACGCUGGCGGCGUGCUUAACACAUGCAAGUCGAACGGAAAGGCCCUUCGGGGUGCUCGUGUGGCGAACGGUUGAGUAAGAGGGGGGUGAUUUGGCCUGCACUUUGGGAUAAGGCUGGGAAAUUGGGGCUAAUACCGAAUAGGACCACGCGCUUCACGGUGUGUGGUGGAAAGCCUUUGCGGUGUGGGAUGGGCGCGCGGCCUAUCAUCUUGUUGGUGGGGUAAUGGCGUACCAAGGCGACGACGGGUAGCCGGCCUGAGAGGGUGAGCGGCCACACUGGGACUGAGAUACGGCCCAGACUCCUACGGGAGGCAGCAGUGGGAAAUAUUGCACAAUGGGCGCAAGCCUGAUGCAGCGACGCCGCGUGAGGGAUGACGGCCUUCGGGUUGUAAACCUCUUUCAAUAGAGACGAAGCGCCAGUGACGGUACCUAGAGAAGAAGCACCGGCCAACUACGUG